rnacentral:tRNA from 1 species
GGGCAAGUGGCGGAAUUGGUAUACGCGCUGGUCUUAGAAACCAGUGCCGCAAGGCUUAAGAGUUCGAG